CUGUGGUGUGCUGAAAGAAUAAGCUGAGAUGUAGGGGCAAGCACCUUCCUUGGGACUUUGAGGAAGGUCUAUUGAUGGAGGGAAGAACUACCUGUAAAAAGGGUGUUGAUUUAUUGACAGCUCCUUAAGAAGGCGAUUGUACAAAACAGUAAAGCAUUGGAAAAGCACUCUUAAAAUCCUUUUUUAAAAGGUCAAAUAAAAACCACAGCAUAAAAAAUACAAAACUAAAAGUGGUCACUCACAGCAAUGGGUUGGUGGGAAAAGACUCUACUACAGGGAGCAUCACACAUGUGAAUUCAGAGCACAGACCAGCUGUUGCUACUUGCAAUUAAUCUGAAGUAAUUGUUUGGAGGUGUGAGCUACCUUGCCUAAGGAACUGAUGGAGAUCAGCUGUAUGGUGGACACAGAAUGAUGGUCUUAUACUGCCACAAGCCAAAUUCAGCUUGUUGGAGCUGUUGCUGAAGAUGCCAUGAGACUUCCCAGUGAUCUUCAGAUCAGGUUAACAGCCAAUAGGAUGGACACCCCAGUCUCAUCUUAGGGAAGCCCUGUUUUUCGUACCACAAGAGGCUGAGAAGAAAGCAGAAGGGACAGGUGGGGCCAAGUGUUCUGGGAUGCAACCUUCUGGAGGUGGAGGCAGUGGCAAUUCUGCAACCCCACGAUGACAAGUGCAACAAUUUAUUCUCAAAUGAGGUGGACCAGGUGGUAGUCAUGGCAAUGGAUGGAUUGACACCCUGAAGAUUUACUGUCAUUGGUAUUCCACAUCAUAACAUCAUGUAGUGGACAUACCUAGUUCUCAGAAGAGAAGGACUACUACAGUCCCCACGGUACUUUGCUCCUUUGUUACCAUUU
rnacentral:lncRNA from 1 species